rnacentral:rRNA from 1 species
GACGAACGCUGGCGGCGUGCCUAAUACAUGCAAGUCGAACGAGAGCGCCCGGUGCUUGCACUGGUCAAUCUAGUGGCGAACGGGUGAGUAACACGUGGGUAACCUGCCCAUCAGAGGGGGAUAACAUCCGGAAACGGAUGCUAACACCGCAUAGGUCUUCGCACCGCAUGGUUUGAAGAGGAAAAGAGGCGCAAGCUUCUGCUUAUGGAUGGACCCGCGGUGCAUUAGCUAGUUGGUGAGGUAACGGCUCACCAAGGCCGGGAUGCAUAGCCGACCUGGGAGGGGGAUCGGCCACAUUGGGACUGAGACACGGCCCAAGCUCCUACGGGAGGCAGCAGUAGGGAAUCUUACGCAAUAGGCGCAAGUCUGACGGAGCAACGCCGCGUGGGUGAAGAAGGUUUUCGGAUCGUAAAACUCUGUUGUUGGAGAAGAACGAGUGCUAGAGUAACUGUUAGCGCCUUGACGGUAGCUAACUAGAAAGCCACGGCUAACUACGUG